GUAGGACAAUAUGUUGUAAGCGAUGGAAGCAAAGCACUGAAGGAAACACAGCUGCAUUGUGACGGCUGAUAAUGCUUUGAUUGUCCGGUAGCUGAGUUGCUAUGGAUCCGAAACAGCUAGCGGGAAGCUGGUUUCAGCAAAAUGUUUUAUUUGAGCAAGAUUACUGCAGUUACGCAGUAACCAAUACAUGUAAAGCAUUUGGUUUUACUCUUUCAGAACCAUAUUAUUAUGACAAAAGUUAUCCUGUUGGCUUCAGCGAUAACAUUCUUUUUA